rnacentral:rRNA from 1 species
GUGACGAAGCGACGCCGCGUGCGGGAGGAAGGCCUUCGGGUUGUAAACCGCUGUCGGGAGUUAAGAAAUGCAAGGAUGUUAAUAGCGUUCUUGCUUGACUAAGGCUCCGGAGGAAGCCACGGCUAACUCUGUGCCAGCAGCCGCGGUAAUACAGAGGCGGCAAGCGUUGUUCGGAAUUAUUGGGCGUAAAGAGCACGUAGGCGGCUGUGUAAGUCGGUUGUGAAAGCCUUCCGCUCAACGGAAGAACGGCAUCCGAUACUGCAUGGCUUGAGUGUGGGAGGGGAGAGUGGAACUUCUGGUGGAGCGGUGAAAUGCGUAGAUAUCAGAAGGAACACCGGCGGCGAAGGCGACUCUCUGGUCCGUAACUGACGCUGAGUGUGCGAAAGCUAGGGGAGCAAACGGGAUUAGAUACCCCGGUAGUCCUAGCCGUAAACGAU